rfam:Citrus clementina cultivar Clemenules unplaced genomic scaffold scaffold_455, whole genome shotgun sequence.
CUACGGACUUAAUUGGAUUGAGCCUUAGUAUGGAAACUUACUAAGUGAUAACUUUCAAAUUCAGAGAAACCCAGGAAUUAAAAAUGGGUAAUCCUGAGCCAAAUCCUCUUCUCUUUUCCAAGAACAAACAGGGGUUCAGAAAGCGAAAAAGGGGGAUAGGUGCAGAGACUCAAUGGAAGCUGUUCUAACAAAUGGAGUUGACUGCCCUUUUUGGUAAAGAAAAAAGAAAGUAAAAUGAAUGCUUCUAUCGAAUAUCGAAACUCGAUAAAGGAUGAAGGAUAAGGGUAUAUAGACUAUGGAUACGCAGCGAAAAACUAACUCAAAAAUCACAACCAAAUACGUAUUUCUUUUUAUGAAAAAGAAAAAGAAAAGAAUUGUUAUUGUUAUGAAUCGAUUCUAAGUUGAAGAAAGAAUCGAAUAUUCCCGGCUCAAAUCAUUCACUCCACCUCCAUGGUCUGAUCGAUCCUUUCUUUUGACUUUUGAAGAACUGAUUAAUCGGACGAGAAUAAAGAUAGAGUCCCAUUCUACAUGUCAAUAUCAA